UACGGAGGAUCCGAGCGUUAUCCGGAUUUAUUGGGUUUAAAGGGUGCGUAGGCGGUUUGAUAAGUUAGAGGUGAAAUGUCGGGGCUCAACCCCGAAACUGCCUCUAAUACUGUUGGACUAGAGAAUAGUUGCGGUAGGCGGAAUGUAUGGUGUAGCGGUGAAAUGCUUAGAGAUCAUACAGAACACCGAUUGCGAAGGCAGCUUACUGGACUGUAAAUGACGCUGAGGCUCGAAAGCGUGGGGAGCAAACAGG
rnacentral:rRNA from 1 species